GUUGACACAGAAACACACAAAUAUACUUUUUCUCCAGAAAACAUUCAAAUAUAGGACAGCGUCUCUAACUGUUGUCGUCUCAUUUGGCUGCUCAAACGGGAAGGUUUCUCUUAGAUUUCUAUAUGCUAACAUAAUAUGUUAGAUUCAAUAAAACAUUGUUUUGAUGGUUCAAAUAUUCUGUUGGUUGAGAUUCUUCUGACAUUUUAGGAUGUUUGUUUGCAUGUUUGGAGUGACAGAACGGGAUCGACAGGUAGUUCCUGAGUUUUUGCCCCGCAGCAACGAUUUAGAUAUCUGUGGAGUCUGUGUCCUGUCAUAGUCUACGUGUUCAGUUUUCUAGCUUGACGUCAUGAAGACUUUGGCAGCUCGGACACAGAUGUGCUGCCCUCAUAGAUGGUUUACAGGCUGGAAACAGAGCUUUAGCUUCCACUGGGCUUUAGUGUUGAACAGCCUGUCAGCUGUCAGCUGCCUGGAUGAUGGGAAGUGGACCGUACAUGGCCUGCAUAAUAGUCUGAGUUAGAACCGGCACUGCUUCAAUGAGCUAAAUACCUGCAUAACACGUUAAACAGUGCUGAGAAAUGUUAGACCGGCAACAAAAAUAAGCAAAAACAUUCAGAAAAAGAUCACGUUUUAAAUGUUUGUUCAACCGAAAAUGCAUCUGAAUUUUUCAAAAAAAUUACAAAAUAAAUUCUAAAUGCUUGUUAAGUUGGAAAAGUGCUGAAAUCUGCUGUCAGGACCACAAGUGACGAGCUUUUCAG